UCCGGGUGCGGUGGCGUGUGCCUGUAGUCCCAGCUACUCUGGAGGCUGAGGCUGGAGGAUCUCUUGAGUCCAGGAGUUCUGGGCUGUAGUGUGCUAUCCCAAUCAGGUGUCCUCACUAAGUUUGGCAUCAAUAUGGUGACCUCCUGGGAGCAGGGAACCGCCAGGUUGCCUGAGGAAAGGUGAACCGGCCCAGGUCGGAUACAGAGCAGGUCAAAACUCUGGUGCUGAUCAGUAGUGGGAUCGUGCCUAUUAAUAGUCACUGCACUCCAGCCUGGGCAACAUAGCGAUACCCCAUCUCUA
ensembl:misc_RNA Metazoa_SRP Metazoan signal recognition particle RNA